GACGAACGCUGGCGGCGUGCCUAAUACAUGCAAGUCGAGCGAAGUUUUUCUGGUGCUUGCACUAGAAAAACUUAGCGGCGAACGGGUGAGUAACACGUAAAGAACCUGCCUCAUAGACUGGGACAACUAUUGGAAACGAUAGCUAAUACCGGAUAACAGUAUUUCUCGCAUGAGAGAUAUUUAAAAGUUGGUUAUGCUAACACUAUGAGAUGGCUUUGCGGUGCAUUAGCUAGUUGGUGGGGUAAAGGCCCACCAAGGCGACGAUGCAUAGCCGACCUGAGAGGGUGAUCGGCCACACUGGGACUGAGACACGGCCCAGACUCCUACGGGAGGCAGCAGUAGGGAAUCUUCCGCAAAGGGCGAAAGCCUGACGGAGCAACGCCGCGUGAGUGAAGAAGGAUUUCGGUUCGUAAAGCUCUGUUGUUAGGGAAGAAUGGAUAUGUAGUAACUAUACAUGUAAGAGACGGUACCUAACCAGAAAGCCACGGCUAACUACGUG
rnacentral:rRNA from 1 species